AGAUAAACACUACUUCACCUAAGAGACUUGAGUAUCCAGUUCUUCGUUGACCUUCAGCAUUCAGUUGUUUGUCUUCACCUUUUUAGGCUAAAACCUGAGAAGCCAUCACCAUGUUGUUGUUUCACAUCAGAGUUUCCUGUGUCCAGCAUCUUCAAGACAGACUAAGCUAACUUUUCAUAUUUUUUGCACAUUUAUAUUUAGGUUAGG